rnacentral:lncRNA from 1 species
GUAUUGGGUUUGGAACCCUAGAAGUGGUAGAUUAGAUCUAUCACUAAUUGCUGUUCUUGUUCAAACGCUUGUAAUAUUAGAUUCAGAUUUUUAUGCAUAUAAAUUUAUAUUAUAAAUCUAUUUAUUAGAAUUUUAAGAUCUGAUAUUAUAUAUAUAUUUAUAGAUUAAAUAGUUUAAUCUUUUAUUCUUUCAUUAAAAUUUUUUGAAAUGCAUGCAUAAAACCCCUGCA